AUUGAACGCUGGCGGCAUGCCUUACACAUGCAAGUCGAACGGCAGCGGGCCUUCGGGUGCCGGCGAGUGGCGAACGGGUGAGUAAUGCAUCGGAACGUGCCAUUGAGUGGGGGGAUAACGUAGCGAAAGUUACGCUAAUACCGCAUAUUCUGUGAGCCAGGAAAGCAGGGGGACCGCAAGGCCUUGCGCUCUUUGAGCGGCUGAUGUCAGAUUAGCUAGUUGGUGAGGUAAAGGCUUACCAAGGCGACGAUCUGUAGCGGGUCUGAGAGGAUGAUCCGCCACACUGGAACUGAGACACGGUCCAGACUCCUACGGGAGGCAGCAGUGGGAAUUUUGGACAAU
rnacentral:rRNA from 1 species